UGUUCUGGAAGAGGGUGAGAGAGGGCAGGGUCAGGAGGCCCCACGCACAGCCUGCAGACCCCCCUCGGGUUCGGUCUGCGGACCCCCUCCCAGGCGCUGUCCUUGCCCCAGGUCACGGCUUUCUGCUGUUGCUACCGCUGGCUCGCACCACCUGCCAGAACUGCCCAGAGCAAUUAUUGACUUUGCCUGGGGCGGGAUAUUAAGCGGUGGUUAUUACGUUUGCCAUCCUGUAUCUCUGGGGGAGACCAACCCUUGGCUUCCCAAGGGAAUUCCCCCUCCGGUUUUCCCAGCCUCUCUCCUCUCCUCACAGACAGACACAGGAAGUUACUGUUUUCCGUUUCGAACUUUCUUAAGCCGUUUCCUCAGUCAGAGACCUGCAGAGAGAAAAGGCAAGCCUCACCACAGCGAGGAGGGAGCUGUAAGAGGCCUCUCAGGAGAACUCGGGCUGUGAAAACCCAGGCUGGGCCACCCUGCGCUGGUUUCUCCUCAGGACCCCGCCGCCCGCCCAGGAAGCAGAAUAACUCACCUGCAGCACUGUGGGAUUGGAGCCCGGAGCCGCGCCGCUGAAGGAGCAGCCGCCCCACACAGUGGGUGGAGGGAGAGCCACGCAGCUGUAUCCUCAGUGCCAGUCCAGCCAGGAGCCCUGGGCCACAGAGGAUGCUGCUCCAGAAGCAGAGGCUAGACGAGAAUCCAGUUGAAUUGGCUGUUCUCCAGUCCUGUCUCACAAAACUGCUCUAGAAUCCCUAGACACGUGAGCACCUAAGAAGAAAGCACAGCCACGUGGUCAAGCGUCCCCCGAGGGUCAGGGUCCUCAUGCGGCCCAUGGCUGUCUGCAAGGUGAGACCUCCGAUUCUGUCUCCCACUAUCCCAUUGCCUGCCUCUGCACCGCCUCUGCCUUGUUCUCACCUCUUCUCUGCUUAAACCAUAUAGCUCCAAGGUGGCUCCAGUUUUCCUGGGAGCCAUUUGACAAAGACACAUAAACACAUAACAGACAAACUGUGCUUCAUGGCUCCCCGGGAAUGUGUCUUGUCUUGGCCUGUAUUAUAUGGUCCAGAGCCAAAGGAGGCUACAUUCUCAUCCCCACGAACCAGGACACUUGACCGCUUCCCCCACUUGUAGGACCCCAACAUCUUAUUUCCCCUGUACUCCACUGUCAGUCUGCGCUCUCCUCCAAGACCAAGAUUUUCUAGCCUCCCAGUCACUGUUUCUCCGCAGCACAGAAGCACUUUUUACAUAAACAACAGAAUGGGAGGAGAACGCAUCUCUGCUGCAUUGACUUGUGUGGUUCUGCAUGUGUGCUUUCCUUGAAUGUUCACGACAAUCUGGAUUCGGUUAAGAAAGGUGAGGAAUAAGGAGGUGGACCAUUCCUUUACCCCUAGGGGCCUGGAGAAGUUGUCUGCCCCACUAGGCCCGUGUGUAUGUAUGUAUAUGGACAUGCACACACCGUCCAUUUAUACAUACGCACCACGUGGGUGUCUGACGUGUAUGCCAAUCCACUGGGUUACUUUGGGUGUCUCACGCCUUGUUUGAGCUCUUUUUCCUCUUGGCAGGUAGUACAUACCUGAUCUGUUCCCUCCCAUUCAUCACCGUAUGUCGGUUGUAGGGCCAGAGUCAGAAAAAUAACCUGCAGGAAGGUGGGAGUGGACUUUGGUGGGGGGGGGGGUGCUCUGUAUUGUGAGCCUUUUUUCAGGAAAUGCUGGAUUUAUGCCAUCACUUUGGAGAGUAGUUUGGCAGUUUCUGUUGAAGCUGAAAAUGCACCAAUGCUCCCAGUAUUUCCCUACAAAAGGACAUGCACAGGAUGUUCGAAGCAGCAGUGCUAUGCUGGUGAAAAAUGGGAGAUUAUCCAAAUGUCUAUAAAGAGUAGAAUAGAAAAAGUAAAACAGCUUAUUAAUAUGAUGGAAUAUUAUUCAGCAGACAAAAGGAAUGAAUGAGAUCUGUCCACUUCAGUGACGAGUAUCAAAGGGGUAGAUGGCAACAAUACAGUCUUGGGUGGAAAAGAGCUAGUUAGACUUGUACUGUGUGAUAUUUAUGGGCGUUAAAAAAAACCGCAAAAGAAUACUGAACAGUGUUUGUGGACUCAAGUACAGAGUACAUUUCAUGGACAGGAAAGAUACACUUACAUUCUGAAGAGAGGAAGCUUAGUGAAGGAGAAACAUUAACAGGAACGUCAGCCUUAAAAAUCUGAAGAAACAUGACUUAAUAAGCAUGCGCUCUGCAUGAUUUGUUACGUUUUUAAGUUUCUAUACUUAAAUUUUUCAUCCAGAUUUUUUAAAUAAUGGAAGAAAGACAGGCUGCAACUCUGAUCACUUGUGAAAUGACAUAUCUUUUGGUUGCAAGUGACUGAAAACCCAAUUCAAACUGGCUUAAGCUAAAGAGCGGUAGGGGGUCACACUCUGAAAAGCCCCAGAGUAUAUCUGCUCCAGGGUAGCAAAUGCCUGGACUUGGUUUCUUCCUGUUCCGCCUUCCCUUAAGUUGACUUUAGCCUCUCUCCUCAAAGUGGACUCCAGUGUGAUGGGCCACCAUUCUUAAAGUGUUAAUUCAGUAGAAAAGAGGUUCUUCCUCUUAAAUGGUUAGAAGAGAAGGGCAGGGCUCAGCUUUCCUUUGCCUGGGUUGAGUCACACCCCGACGUGUGAACCAUCACUGUGGUUGGAGAGGAACUGUGCUGAGAUCCCCGGUCUGUCACCUGGGUCGCACAUCUACCACUGAAGCCUGAGGUGGGGAGUGAAGUCAUUACAGAAGGGGAGUGCUGUCACCAGAGAAGAAGAGAUACCACAAGAAGGCCAAAGCAGCAACUGCCCACCUCUGAUUGCUGGCUCAUUUUUGGAAAUGGGGUUGCAGAGCACAAUGGGAUAAAACUGUAAUCUUCAAGUCCACCAGUCGGUUCGCCCUUCCCCACCUCCCCCUGAUCGCUGUGCACCCGGCCCCUGGGGUGGGGCCUCCUGAUGGGAGCGACAUUGUCAGUGCUAGAGCGAGGCUCUCAGCAGCCUUCCCGUAAGCCAUCAGUUCUCCACCCGGGGUGUGGGCGGGAACAUAGCCUCUGCCAGCUGAACUGGUGACCAUCUCAGAGGGAUACUGUCCUAGCAGGAUGGAGGGGAUGGUUUGAAAAUGCGUGUUUAAUAUAAUUUGUUCUUUGCCAAAUUAUAUUUGUUUAAUGUAACAUAAACGACAGCAGUUAGCAACGUGUUAUGGUCAAAAAGGCAUGUGUUCAAAGGUUGUGAGGUGCUGAGUGGGGGUGUGGUAGCCUGAGCCCGGCUUAGGGAGGAAGCUCUCAGGGAGGAAGCUCCCCAAUGAGUUUACAUAAACCCAGUGACCUGAUUUUACAUCAGAGUCUCUUUCCAUUGGAAGCUCACCCUGCCCCCUCCUGACAACCGUACGAGGCUGAGGUAUGACAUGGCUAGUGGUAUCUUCAAGAAACCUUCCUUUUUUCCCCCUUAACACAAUGCUUCAGGAGCCAUUCAUUUUCUUAGCAGGGGCAACGGUGGUUGCAUUGAACCAGAUUGCAUGAACUAGAUGUUUUCAAGCAAUCUAAUUGCAAAAUUGAGGCUUUCACUCGGGCUUUGUGAAACACACCCCCUUCCAAAAUAAAGCUCACUAAGCAUGUUCAUAACCUUCACCCUGACGAACUGUCCUUAAUCUUGGCUGACAAAAAUCAAAUGUACAGUUUUUUUCAGGAUGACAUUGGCAAGUAUGUUUAGUAUUGAGCCUUCCCUUCCUCCUGCUAAUACAGCUUCUGAGAUCAGAAAUCCCACCUGUAUUUUAGAUCAACAUACCACCACCUAAAUGCAGCUGAAGUAAUCCUGUCUUAUAAAACAAGAGAACUGCAGUUCAGAAAAUCUUUAGAACCAGAUUCUUGACGGGCACAAAGUAUUGAACAUACAGGCCCGUGUGGAGCAAUUGUAGCUUUUUUAUCUAAACCAGUUUUGUUACUCUUUGUCUCACGACAGAGUAGUUCUGGGUUUUAUGUCUCAUUUGAUGCAUCAAAAAGCUUUGCAUUUCACCAGGCCGACUUUAAACUCACAUCUCUGAGAGCCUGAGUGACACUAAACUUGAACAGUGAAAUUUUGAAUCAUUAAAUGCGUGUACACCAGGUAGCGUAAUGUUUUCUACGUGUGCAAUUGCAUUCAGCAGAACAAGCAUGUCUGUCAUCUAACUGGAUCAACAGUUUUCAAACUUGUUGACCUCAAGAUGCUUUUAUACUCUUAAAAAUUACUGAGCUGGCAGAUCUAGUCACCUGUGAAGCUGACAUUGGCCACACCUAAGCGCCCAUCCCUUCUCUCUGUGGCCGGCUCUCCAACUCUGCUCCCCCAGUACCCUGACAGUGAGGCGCCCAGCUCUGCAGCCUCUGUAGCCUUUUAUCAAAGGCUUUGCGCAUAGCUGAGGAGGAGAAAUAGAAAAUCAGGGGGUCAAUGCAAGCGUUGGGAGUGCUUAGCAACACGGUGCAUGCCCGCCAGGUUGGAUUUUUCCACUGGAAGAACCCCACCACGUGAGACACGUUGUAGGGCCCAAAACAGAUCACAAAAUUGAAGAGGGUCAUAACAGCCAGCCCCAUGGCUCUCCAGCGCCUCCAGGUCCCCACGUGGGGCUGGGAGAGGAUGAUUCGCACAAAACGCCGGUAGCAGAAGAUGGUGGCCGCCAUGGGGAUGAAGAAGAGGACGAGGCACAACGCCAGCCGCACGGGAAGCACCAGGCGCAGCUGCCCUCGGGUGAAGUUCUCAUAGCAGUAAGGGAGGACUUGGGCGUCACUCACCAGCCUCUUGGUAGCUGGGCACGGGGCUUGAACACAAGAUUCUCAGCUUCACCUCUGAAAAUGGGAGUUUGAUUAAGCAUGAGGGUAAAACAGCUUAAGCCCAAGGGGAAUCCCAGCUGCCAGCUUCUUGAUUCCACGCUGAGCCGUUCAAAGAAAGCC